rnacentral:rRNA from 1 species
GAUGAACGCUGGCGGCGUGCCUAUACAUGCAAGUAGAACGCUGAAGGAGGAGCUUGCUCUUCUGGAUGAGUUGCGAACGGGUGAGUAACGCGUAGGUAACCUGCCUGGUAGCGGGGGAUAACUAUUGGAAACGAUAGCUAAUACCGCAUGACAACAGUUAUUGCAUGAUAACUGUUUUAAAGGGGCAACUGCUCCACUACCAGAUGGACCUGCGUUGUAUUAGCUAGUUGGUGAGGUAACGGCUCACCAAGGCGACGAUACAUAGCCGACCUGAGAGGGUGAUCGGCCACACUGGGACUGAGACACGGCCCAGACUCCUACGGGAGGCAGCAGUAGGGAAUCUUCGGCAAUGGACGGAAGUCUGACCGAGCAACGCCGCGUGAGUGAAGAAGGUUUUCGGAUCGUAAAGCUCUGUUGUAAGAGAAGAACGAGUGUGAGAGUGGAAAGUUCACACUGUGACGGUAUCUUACCAGAAAGGGACGGCUAACUACGUG